rnacentral:tRNA from 2 species
GCGAUCGUGGCGGAACUGGCAGACGCGCAAGACUAAGGAUCUUGUGGCUAACACCAUGCAGGUUCAAUUCCUGUCGAUCGCACCA